AAGGACGCGACUAACCGCGAAAGUCUUCGGGGAGCCGUAAGUAGGCUUUGAUCCGGAGGUCUCCGAAUGGGGGAACCCAGCAUGUGCAGACAUGCUAUCCUUAAGUGAAUACAUAGCUUAAGGAGGGAACACGCAGUGAACUGAAACAUCUAAGUAGCUGCAGGAAGAGAAAGAAAUAUCGAUUUCCCAAGUAGCGGCGAGCGAACAGGAAAGAGCCCAAACCGGCAGAUUUAUCUGCCGGGGUUGUAGGACUGAGACAUGGCACUUCAGAGGAUAGCAGAAGCGUUUGGGAAAGCGCGCCAGAGAGGGUGAGAGCCCCGUAAGCGAAAUCCAAAGGAGGCCUAUCAGUAUCCUGAGUAGGGCGGGACACGUGAAAUCCCGUUUGAAUCCGCGAGGACCAUCUCGCAAGGCUAAAUACUAACCAGUGACCGAUAGUGAACCAGUACCGUGAGGGAAAGGUGAAAAGAACCCCGGGAGGGGAGUGAAAGAGAACCUGAAACCGUGUGCCUACAAGUAGUCAGAGCCCGUUAACGGGUAAUGGCGUGCCUUUUGUAGAAUGAACCGGCGAGUUGCGUUAGUCAGCAAGGUUAAGUCAGAAAAGACGGAGCCGUAGCGAAAGCGAGUCUGAAGAGGGCGAGCAGUUGGCUGACGCAGACCCGAAACCAAGUGACCUACCCAUGACCAGGUUGAAGGCGCGGUAAAACGCGCUGGAGGACCGAACCCACGUAAGUUGAAAAUUGCGGGGAUGAGUUGUGGGUAGCGGUGAAAUUCCAAACGAACUUGGAGAUAGCUGGUUCUCUCCGAAAUAGCUUUAGGGCUAGCCUCGCAAAGAGGAUGCUGGAGGUAGAGCUCUGUUUGGACUAGGGGCCCGUCAAGGGUUACUGAAUUCAGAUAAACUGCGAAUUCCAGACAUUUAUGUGCGGGAGUCAGACUGCGAGUGAUAAGAUCCGUAGUCGAAAGGGAAACAGCCCAGAUCACCAGUUAAGGUCCCAAAAUUCAUGCUAAGUGGAAAAGGAUGUGGAGUUGCGCAGACAACUAGGACGUUGGCUCAGAAGCAGCCAUCAUUCAAAGAGUGCGUAAUAGCUCACUAGUCGAGUGACGCCGCGCCGAAAAUUUACCGGGGCUAAGCAUGAUACCGAAACUGUGGAUGUGCGUUUAUGCACGUGGUAGGAGAGCGUUCUAGCGGCGGUGAAGCAUGACUGAGAAGACAUGUGGAGCUUCUAGAAGUGAGAAUGCCGGUAUGAGUAACGAAAGACAGGUGAGAAUCCUGUCCGCCGCAAGACUAAGGUUUCCUGGGGCAGGCUCGUCCGCCCAGGGUAAGUCGGGACCUAAGGCGAGGCCGAGAGGCGUAGUCGAUGGACAACAGGUUGAAAUUCCUGUACUGCACCGAAUCGUUAUGAGCGAUGGAGGGACGCAGGAGGCUAGCAGCGCGUGGUGCUGGAUACCACGUUCAAGCGUCAAGUCUGAGAG
rnacentral:rRNA from 1 species